rnacentral:lncRNA from 1 species
CUACAAGCUCAUGUAGUUCUGAUAUAGCGCAAAGAUCACGUAGAGGUUGUUGCUUAAAGCCAUCUCAAAAACUAAAAAGAUAUGGAGUGGUUCACAAUCGACCAUAAAAAGGCAUGGAAGAAAUAGUGCUGCUCGUGGGCGUUCUUCCCACUAGGAUCAAAAGUUCUUCAUCUUCCCAUGGUCAUUUCUUCUAUGUUCUGAUUUUAAAGCCAUGUUUUUGUUCUCUUGCAAUUUGCUUUAAUUCUCUUUCUGAACACUAUGGCUGAGCCAUUUCUUGUAACUUUCUAGUAUUCAAUAGCAAACCCUUUCUCAAAAAAAAAACUAUUAUAUUAUAUAUUUCAUUUUAGAGUCAUGUACAAAUUUUCGGCUC